CGUGCAGGCGGCCUCUUAAGUCUGGUGUGAAAGCCCGGGGCUUACCCCCGGAAGGGCACUGGAAACUGGGAGGCUAGAGUACCGGAGAGGAGGGUGGAAUUCCUGGUGUAGCGGUGAAAUGCGUAGAUAUCAGGAGGAACACCGGUGGCGAAGGCGGCCCUCUGGACGGAUACUGACGCUGAGACGCGAAAGCGUGGGGAGCAAACAGGAUUAGAUACCCUGGUAGUCCACGCUGUAAACGAUGGGCACUAGGUGUUCGGGGUAUUGACCCCCUGAGUGCCGCAGCUAACGCAUUAAGUGCCCCGCUGGGGACUACGGCCGCAAGGUUAA
rnacentral:rRNA from 1 species